rnacentral:rRNA from 1 species
UACGUAGGGUGCAGGCGUUAAUCGGAAUUACUGGGCGUAAAGCGUGCGCAGGCGGUUUCUUAAGUCAGAUGUGAAAGCCCCGGGCUUAACCUGGGAACUGCAUUUGUGACUGCAUCGCUGGAGUGCGGCAGAGGGGGAUGGAAUUCCGCGUGUAGCAGUGAAAUGCGUAGAUAUGCGGAGGAACACCGAUGGCGAAGGCAAUCCCCUGGGCCUGCACUGACGCUCAUGCACGAAAGCGUGGGGAGCAAACAGG